rnacentral:rRNA from 1 species
GACGAACGCUGGCGGCGUGCUUAACACAUGCAAGUCGAACGCUGAAGCUCAGCUUGCUGGGUGGCUGAGUGGCGAACGGGUGAGUAACACGUGAGUAACCUGCCCUCUUCUUUGGGAUAACGCCCGGAAACGGGUGCUAAUACUGGAUAUUCACUGAUUCUCGCAUGGGGGUUGGUGGAAAGGUUUUUUCUGGUGGGGGAUGGGCUCGCGGCCUAUCAGCUUGUUGGUGGGGUGAUGGCCUACCAAGGCUUUGACGGGUAGCCGGCCUGAGAGGGUGACCGGUCACAUUGGGACUGAGAUACGGCCCAGACUCCUACGGGAGGCAGCAGUGGGGAAUAUUGCACAAUGGGCGAAAGCCUGAUGCAGCGACGCCGCGUGAGGGAUGGAGGCCUUCGGGUUGUAAACCUCUUUCGCUCAUGGUCAAGCCGCAGCGUUGGGUUGUGGUGAGGGUAGUGGGUAAAGAAGCGCCGGCUAACUACGUG